rnacentral:snRNA from 1 species
GUGCUUGCUUGGGCAGCACAUAUACUAAAAUUAGAACUAUACAGAGAAGAUGAGUAUGGCCUCUGAGGAAAAAAAAAAAAAAAAACCAAGAUAAAUGUAU